rnacentral:tRNA from 1 species
GCGCGCGUGACCCAAACGGCAGAGGUGGCUCUCUCAAAAAGAGUCUCGGUGCGGGUUCGACUCCCGCCGCGCGCA